GUCCAGACUCCUACGGGAGGCAGCAGUGAGGAAUAUUGGUCAAUGGGCGCGAGCCUGAACCAGCCAAGUCGCGUGAGGGAUGACGGUCCUACGGAUUGUAAACCUCUUUUGCCGGGGAGCAAGCGUGCGUUCGUGAACGCGCGUCGAGAGUACCCGGAGAAAAAGCAUCGGCUAACUCCGUGCCAGCAGCCGCGGUAAUACGUAGGGGGCAAGCGUUAUCCGGAUUUACUGGGUGUAAAGGGAGCGUAGGUGGCAGGGCAAGUCAGAUGUGAAAACCCGGGGCUCAACCCCGGGAGUGCAUUUGAAACUGUCCAGCUGGAGUGCAGGAGAGGUAAGCGGAAUUCCUAGUGUAGCGGUGAAAUGCAUAGAUAUUAGGAGGAACACCAGUGGCGAAGGCGGCUUACUGGACUGUAACUGACACUGAGGCUCGAAAGCGUGGGGAGCAAACAGGAUUAGAUACCCCCGUAUA
rnacentral:rRNA from 1 species